CAGCAGCCGCGGUAACACGUAGGGUGCAAGCGUUAAUCGGAAUUACUGGGCGUAAAGCGUGCGCAGGCGGUUAUAUAAGACAGAUGUGAAAUCCCCGGGCUCAACCUGGGAACUGCAUUUGUGACUGUAUAGCUAGAGUACGGCAGAGGGGGAUGGAAUUCCGCGUGUAGCAGUGAAAUGCGUAGAUAUGCGGAGGAACACCGAUGGCGAAGGCAAUCCCCUGGGCCUGUACUGACGCUCAUGCACGAAAGCGUGGGGAGCAAACAGGAUUAGAUACCCCGGUAGUCCCUGUCUCUUAUAC
rnacentral:rRNA from 1 species